UGAAUGGCCUUUUCUUUUUCCUUCGACAAUGCCUUCGCCUAGCCACAGCAGCUCCCUCAUACAGACUCCGCAAGCCAAGAGGCCGUGGAGGCAAAUGCAGACAGCCAGCACACCUCGAACAGCCACCUUGACUGCGGGUGUGUCACCCUAGUCGCCAAGGAAACAUUUGAGGGAAAGCGACAGGCAAUGUGAACAGCCACUUCUCCAUGUAAACGAUACUCUUUCUCUCGGAUGACUCCUACAUUCGCCACGCCAGCACACUUGUGCACAAAGAUGCCGCGGAGGCACGUGCAGGUCAGAGGCAAGAAGCAGUGGCACUGGUGUCGACAUUCGCCCAAUUUUUUUUUUCUUACACUGAGGCAGCCAGCACACCUCGAACAGCCACCUUAACUGCGGGUGUGUUAGUAGAUUCCUGUUGUACAUAUGCUCAUAAUAAACUUCAGUAAACUUGAACUUGAUAAUAAACUUGAAGGCAAAUGGGA
rnacentral:lncRNA from 1 species